rnacentral:lncRNA from 1 species
GUAUCCAAAGCUUUGGAACCGCCUGCAUGGCCUGAGCACAAUAUUAUGCAUGAACUGCUGCCUAGAGACUCUACCCAGAAUCCUCGAGUUAAAGUCCUAAAAUUUAAAAAAUAAGGAACCAUUUCUCCAUUUAAUAUCAGAACGCACGCAGUAUUUUAGGUAAAUUGUCUAAAAUACAUACGGAAAGAGGCACUUUUAAAUUGGACGCUAUCGCCAUAACUGAAACCUGGCUUAACUCCUCUGUCUCCGAUCCCGAAAUUUUCAUCCACAAGUUCACAACUUAUAGAUUGGAUCGUCCAUCGUUCGCUGGCGGGGUGCUUAUUGCAGUGAAAACGGCAUUUGCGUACGAGCUGUUUCCAUUUAACACCAUCCAUGGUAUUGAAUUUUUUGCAGUCAAAAUCCGUAUUGGAACAGCAUUUAUCUUUUUGACCUGUUCUUAUAUUCCUCGCAGAUCUGAUGCCGUUGUUUAUUUGAACCACCUUUCUGCAUUUCGUUCUGUAGUUUCUGCUUUAGGCAGAAACUUACUUUAACAUUUCAUCUAUUUCUUGGCAACAGGAUGAAUCAAACAUGUUGUUACCUGCAAGUUGUGAAGGUUGCAGACCAAAAACAAAAGGUUAGAAUGUCUGUUUUUUUUUGGGGAAAAGUCUUCUAAUUUUAUCAAGAAAAUAUUGAACCUCCCCCACUGUACGCAUUCCAGCGAGAGCCCACAUGCAAGAUCAGAAGCUGUUAUCUUGAAAAGCUCUCUCUUUCGAAAUUGCAUGUGCGAGCACCGUUCACAUGUGAGCUUUUCUCUCUGCAAACAUAGCUUACGGCUAGCCCUUCGAGAACCUUCUUAGCUCUCUCAUACACAGCUUUUGGAGGGGUAAAAUAGUUAGGCUAAGUGCAUGCUGCACAGAACAAAAAUUGCAUUCAAGGUUGGAAGACUUAAUUGAUGUGCGGGUAGAAAAUAUACAAAAAAAAAACGUGGUGAAAAUUUUGCUCCAUAAAAGGGAACAUAAACCAAAUAAAAACCAAUAUAAAAGUGUUGUGGCUGCAAAGACGAAAACUUAAAAAACCAACCCCUGGAUAAGGUACGCCAAGAAAAAAAUGAAAAAGUGACCUUAUUACAUAAUUCCAUGUAUGUACUGUACAUAGGUUAUGAUCCACGUGUGGCAGGAAAUUGCUGACCUGGCCUGACCCUCGGUCUCGGAGGGGGGGUCCGCUCCAGUACCACGAUCAUCCGUCCCUCUUUUUGGUGCCACCGGACCUUGCCUGCAGGCGAAAAAAACGGAUGGACUUGGCGAUCGGGACCGAGUUGUUUAUAUACAUAUAUCUCACGCGCAACUAUAAAACCAUCUAUUAUAUUAUAUCACCGCGCCUUGUGUAAAGAAUUGUUGGUGCUUGCAUAUGUAGGGUGUGGAAAAAUUAGCUCAGCGGUCAUUGCCCUUGCGGCUGACCAUACACCUAUGCGCACUUAAAUAGACCCACCUGACCGUAUGUCACCUAUUCUCUCCUUCUCUCAGGUUAUUAAAAUUGUUCGAUGCCGACAUUCUAAAAGCCACUUAAGGGAAGAAAAGUAAAUCACAAAAAUCUAGAAAAGAAAAUAAUGAAAAAUCAUGGAGAGAAGAAAAAAAAUAGAAAAGAAAAUUGUUCAAUAAUAUUAAAUAUUCCUAGACAUUAACUUAGAAUAGAAGAAGAAAAACAUGAAAUUUAUGCGUAGUUAAUAAUAGAUUCUAAAGGGUGCCUGAUCGGUCUCAUUGUGUCCAUGGAAGGGUAUUGGUAAAAUACCUCUUCAUAACGCUUCUUGUUAUUUUGCAUAUUUCUACAUUUCUUUAACAGUUAGAACGUGAAAUUGGGCCCAACGACACCAACAGCUGUUUAAAAGUCUGUAAGUAGACACACAUAUACACACAUACACUCCGGGUCAGGAGAAUAGCGUCUACACAGUGAGACAUGCAUGCUUAACCAUAUAUAAAAUGAAUUAUUAUUAACUAUAAUC